UACGUAGGUGGCAAGCGUUGUCCGGAAUUACUGGGUGUAAAGGGCGUGUAGGCGGGAAGGCAAGUCAGAUGUGAAAGCCCAUGGCUUAACUGUGGAACUGCAUCUGAAACUGUUUUUCUUGAGUACUGGAGAGGAAAGUGGAAUUCCUAGUGUAGCGGUGAAAUGCGUAGAGAUUAGGAGGAACACCAGUGGCGAAGGCGGCUUUCUGGACAGUAACUGACGCUGAGGCGCGAAAGCGUGGGGAGCAAACAGGAUUAGAUACCCGGGUAGUCCCU
rnacentral:rRNA from 1 species